rnacentral:rRNA from 1 species
UACGUAGGGUGCAAGCGUUAAUCGGAAUUACUGGGCGUAAAGCGUGCGCAGGCGGUUGUGCAAGACAGAUGUGAAAUCCCCGGGCUUAACCUGGGAAUUGCAUUUGUGACUGUACGGCUAGAGUGUGUCAGAGGGGGGUAGAAUUCCACGUGUAGCAGUGAAAUGCGUAGAGAUGUGGAGGAAUACCGAUGGCGAAGGCAGCCCCCUGGGAUAACACUGACGCUCAUGCACGAAAGCGUGGGGAGCAAACGGG